rnacentral:SRP_RNA from 1 species
GCUGGGCGACGUGGCGGGCGCCUGUAGUCCCAGCUACUCGGGAGGCUGAGGCAGGAGAAUGGCGAAACCCGGGAGGCGGAGCUUGCAGUGAGCUGAGAUCCGGCCACUGCACUCCAGCCCGGGGACAGAGCGAGACUCCGUCUCAAAAAAAAAAAAAAAAAAAAAAAAGAAACGGAGUCUCGCUCUGCCGCCCAGGCUGGAGUGCAGUGGUGGGAUCUCAGCUCACUGCAAGCUCCGCCUCCCAGGUUCAUGCCAUUCUCCUGCCUC